GAUGCAAGGAAAGACCACAGCAUAUUGACCCCCCACUUUCAUACACAUCAAUCCAACAUCUAUACCUGAUCAGAACAUGUUGUUUUGGAUUGAUUCCUGAAAUUCUCUUGAUGCCAUACCUAAGCCAGGAGUGAAAACUGCAAAACAUCGGAUCUCUACCCAAAGCAUAGUAUGGAUAUGCUUGAUCUUGUGGACAAAGAGUUAUGCAACAUGGUUGUGGCUGGCUAAGUUCACAGAACAUGUGGUCAAGGAGGUUUAGGGCAAAACUGUCUGUGAGAUCUGAUCAUCUCCUCAGACCUCGGUUGUCUUUGGACUACAGUGUUUUAAUUAUCAUGAAACGUGUCUAACUAUCUGAGGUUUCUCUUGCGAUGUGAUGUGGU
rnacentral:misc_RNA from 1 species